rnacentral:lncRNA from 1 species
GUUGAACUUGAGUUUGUGGCAAUUGUUGAACUUGAUUUUUUGCGUGUUUGAACUUGAGUCAGUGGAGUUUUUGAACUUGAGGUUUUGGCAAAUGUUAAACUUGAUAUUUGGGUGUUGUUUGAACUUGAGUUUGUGUCGUGUUUGAACUUGAAUUUGUGUCGUGUUUGAACUUGAGUUUGUGUCGUGUUUGAACUUGAGGUUGUGGCAAUUGUUAAACUUGAGAUUUGGGUGUUGGUUGAACUUGAGAUUGUGGCUUUUUUUGAAUUUGAGUUUGUGGAAAUUGUUAAACUUAAGAUUUGCGUGUUGAUUGAACCUGAGUUUUUUGUUGUGUUUGAACUUGAGUUUGUUGUGUUUUUUGAAUUUGAGUUUGUGGCGUGUUUGAACUUGAAUUCGUGGUGUUUUAGAACUUGAGUUUGUGUGUUUUUUGAACUUGAGUAUGUGUGUUUGUUGAACUUGAGUUUGUGGUGUUUUUUGAACUUGAGGUUGUGGUUCUUUUGAACUUGAGUUUGUGUUUUUCUAGAACUUGAGUUUUUGACAUGUUUUAUUUUGAGGUUGUUGCAAUUCUUCAACCUGAGAUCUGGGUGUUGGUUGAACUUGAAACUGUGACAUUUGUUGAACUUGAGUUUGUGGUGUUUGUUGAACUUGAGUUUGUAUUGUGUUUGAAAUUGAGUUUGUGGUGUUUUUGAACUUGAGUUUGUGUCGUGUUUGAAAUUGAGUUUGUGGUGUUUUUGAACUUGAGGUUGUGUGUUUUUUGAACUUGAGUUUGUGGUGUUUUUGAACUUCAGUUUGUGGCACUUUUUUAACUUGAGUUUGUUGAACUUUAGUUUUUGGCAAUUGUUAAAUGUGAGUUUAGGUCAUUUGUUGAACUUGAAAUUUUGGAAUUUGUUGAACUUAAGAUUGUGGUGUUUGUUGAACUUGAGUUUGUGGCAAUUGUUGAACUUGAUUUUUUGCGUGUUUGAACUUGAGUCAGUGGAGUUUUUGAACUUGAGGUUUUGGCAAAUGUUAAACUUGAUAUUUGGGUGUUGUUUGAACUUGAGUUUGUGUCGUGUUUGAACUUGAAUUUGUGUCGUGUUUGAACUUGAGUUUGUGUCGUGUUUGAACUUGAGGUUGUGGCAAUUGUUAAACUUGAGAUUUGGGUGUUGGUUGAACUUGAGAUUGUGGCUUUUUUUGAAUUUGAGUUUGUGGCAUGUUUGAACUUGAGAACUUGAGGUUGUGGAAAUUGUUAAACUUAAGAUUUGCGUGUUGAUUGAACCUGAGUUUUUUGUUGUGUUUGAACUUGAGUUUGUUGUGUUUUUUGAAUUUGAGUUUGUGGCGUGUUUGAACUUGAAUUCGUGGUGUUUUAGAACUUGAGUUUGUGUGUUUUUUGAACUUGAGUAUGUGUGUUUGUUGAACUUGAGUUUGUGGUGUUUUUUGAACUUGAGGUUGUGGUUCUUUUGAACUUGAGUUUGUGUUUUUCUAGAACUUGAGUUUUUGACAUGUUUUAUUUUGAGGUUGUUGCAAUUCUUCAACCUGAGAUCUGGGUGUUGGUUGAACUUGAAACUGUGACAUUUGUUGAACUUGAGUUUGUGGUGUUUGUUGAACUUGAGUUUGUAUUGUGUUUGAAAUUGAGUUUGUGGUGUUUUUGAACUUGAGUUUGUGUCGUGUUUGAACUUGAGUUUGUGUUGUUUUUGAACUAGAGGUUGUGGCAAUUGUUAAACUUGAGAUUUGGGUGUUGGUUGAACUUGAGUUUGUGGUGUUUUUUGAUCUUGAGUUUGUGUCUUGUUUGAACUUUUGUUUUUGAGAUUUUUUUUUGUUUGUUUGUUUGUUUUUUUUUCACCUAACGCCAAACAAUAAAACCUUACCAUAGCCCCAUAACCUAAUACCCGGGUAUUACCUUCAGGAAGCUCGAACACCCCAAAUAUUUUUUUUUCAUUUUACAUUUUUGUUGGUGUAACCAACUCCAAAAGGUUGGAAAAGAGUUCCUGCAAAGGUUUUUGACAGUGAUUUUAACCCUAACGCCAAAAAACUUAAACCUUACCCUAGCCUUAAAAUCUAAUACCCGGGUAUUACAUUCAGGAAGCCCGAAAACCCCAAAUAUUUUUUUUUUCAUUUUUCAUUUUUUUUGGUCUAACUAACUCCAAAAGGUUGGAAAAGAGUUCUUACAAAGGUUUU